AUGAGACUGUGUUUCUCCACCUGCUCAACUUAACAUCUGAAGACAGUGGGAACUACACCUGUGAGUGUGGAUUUCGUGGUGGAUUGUAUGUUCUCCAUCUCAGUGUGACUGUGAGAGACGAUGGAGAUUCUUCUGGCAUGAAGUUCAUGGCUACAGUUCCCAUCAUUUCUGCUGCUGCUUCACUCAUCAGUGUGGCUGUGAUAACCUGUGGUUACAGCCUGAGGAGAAAUCCUCGCAGGUGAAAACUUUUACUGACGCACUUAAACUCAUGAAAUGACCCUUUGAAAUCACUUGAGCACAUUACUGCAUACAGCAGCCACUGUGGUGUUCAAAGUAUCUCAUAGGUUCUUUUAAAACACCACACAUUAGUUGUAGACAUAGCUAGUCUUGUUUUUGAGGUAUUUUUCACCCCAUGACCUCUGAUGUUUUUAUCCUAACAGAGAAAACAGAUCAGGUCUAACUAACUUAACAGGAUCUGAAACUCGCCAGAUGUUUGACAAAGAGGACCGCUACAUGAGCCUUCAUCGGCAAAACAUCGAUGUCUACCAAACUAUCUCCUCCGGUCGCCUUCAUCAUGAUGCUGAGGCCGCUGCAUGUCACAUUCAUGUACAAUAAUAAUCAGAGAUGGAGUUUUUAUCCUGACUACGUGAUC